AAUGGGCGAAAGCCUGAUGCAGCAACGCCGCGUGGAGGAUGAAGGCCUUCGGGUUGUAAACUCCUUUACUGAGGGAAGAGAAAGGACGGUACCUCGGGAAUAAGUCUCGGCUAACUACGUGCCAGCAGCCGCGGUAAUACGUAGGAGGCGAACGUUAUCCGGAAUCACUGGGCGUAAAGCGCACGCAGGCGGCUCUAUAAGUCCGACGNGAAAGCUCCUGGCUUAACUAGGAGAUGCCGUUGGAUACUGUGGAGCUUGAGGUUAGGAGGGGAAAGUGGAAUUCCCGGUGUAGUGGUGGAAUGCGUAGAUAUCGGGAGGAACUCCAGUGGCGAAAGCGACUUUCUGGCCUACACCUAACGCUGAGGUGCGAAAGCGUGGGGAGCAAA
rnacentral:rRNA from 1 species